rnacentral:lncRNA from 1 species
UGACACUUGGAGACCAAGUUUCCUAUGAAACUUGGAGGCCAAGUUUCCUAUAUAUAUAUAUAGGGGACUUGAGCCUUUUCUUUCUUUCUCCCUCACACUUGCAACCAAAGAGAAAUAUCUCUCUCUCUAACAAUUUCUCCACCAAAGAGAGGAAUUGGAGGUGCAUUUGGAGAAGAAAAAGGUUGCUUGGAGGUGAAGUCUUCAUCCUCUUCAUUACUGGGUUUGAGGAAAAGCUUGCGUUUGAGGUGCCUAAACACGUGUGAAGCGUCGGUUCGUCGAUUCGUCGAGCAGGUGCGACCGAAGAGUAAAGCGGCGACUAGGGAAGUGCAAUUGAGAACCUAGCCUCGUGAUAGCGGUAAAAGGUGGGGGGUGUCAUACCGAAACAUCCGGGCUUCCUUUUAUGUCUAAGUUUUAUUUUGAUCAUAUUCAUAUAUUGAUAUUGUGCAUUAUAGGAUUAGUAGAUGAUUACAUUCCAUUUCCUUACAUGUUUCCUAUGGUAGUGUAGCAUUAUGGGCUUGACACUUGAACUUAGGUUGCAUGAGGAUUGGGUCAUGUGA